GUAUUUCUGGUAGAUGGGGCAAGUUGAGUUUCCCUACUCAAUAUGAGAGUUGAAGUGUCCCCAAAAAUAUUCGUGGACGAGACAUUUAUGACUUUCUUGGCUCUGAUGUGUAAUUAUAUGGAGAUGUGUAUAGACCUUGGGGCAACAGAUAGAGGAUUCACCAAGGCUUGGGGUCUUUAAAGGUCAUUGGAGUAGCAAAAAUAUUCAACCUGUUCUUAAUUACCUUUUUCCAUGUUAAGUGCUUGCUCUUAAGUUCCUUAAGCCCCUCAAAAACCCCCAGUAAGAAAAGGGUAGUCGAAAGAUGAAAUGCCUAGACUACUCUGAGGAACAGAUUUGGAGUGAAAAGUGUUUGGUAGAGGUUCAUGGAGGGGGCAGGAGUGUUGAAGGGGGACAUAUAAAUCAAACAAUAAAGGGCACUGAAAGAAAGUCAGAUGGUCAUGAGAAGAAACACCAUGCCCCUGAAACACCACUCGCCAGAAUCAGACACACAGAGGUGUCAGGGGUGAGAAAGUUGUAUCAUGGCCUCCCUCAUCACCUAUUAACCCAUGUUGAUGGGCACAGUGGUACAUUGUGAUGUCUAAGACCACAAAGCCACCAUUGGCUGGGGGAGUGCCUAGCUGACCAAUCAGAUUGAAGGGUGUGGCUCCUCAUUGUUCUCAGAAGGUAUAUAUACGGAGGUCAGAGGCAGAGAUUCUGGGUUAGGCCAUUUCCUGCUAUCAUGAUAAGGUAACCAGGAAGCCACGGCAGCCAAGAAGAGUUCCAAUGCGGUGUGCUUCAAGGGUGAAAGGACUAAAGAAGAGUCUUUGUACACAGAGAUACAGGGGCAGUGUGAAGGCACGGAAUAUGACCAUGAGGGUCAGAGGACGUAUAAAAGGAACCUUGAGAAAGAUAAUCCGAUUAUAUGGCACUCAGUCGAAGAAGGUGAAAAAAAAAAAAAAAAAAAAAAAAAAAAAAAAACAGAAAAA